CCGCUUGUGGUUCGAAAACUUCCCACACUAAAAAACUAGGAAAAA
rnacentral:ncRNA from 2 species